UGAGCAUGCGCAAUAGUAACCACCAACGGACAGUCUCCUGCUUAGGACCACAUGGUGCCGAUCGGACUGUGCCAACUCAUUUGCUGGUAACUGGAUGUUUUUGUUGCUUGUGGAACAAUAAGUUAACAGGCAUAGCACAAGUUCAAGCAUGUUUUGGCGGCUUUCCACCACCAUCCACCUGAAAACCAACUGCUCCAGAAGGAAAGCGAAAACUCUCAAAUGAUAGCCAUGACAAACCUGGAUAGUGACUUUUUAAGUGCACUGCAACACACAACACUUUGUCACAAUCUUCAAGUCCAGGAAAGGAAGUGCUGGAGAGAAACUGGCUGAGAUUGUGUAGCAAAUUGAUUCAAAGGAGACUGUGUAACAAAUUGAUUAAAAGAUGUAGCAGCAGUGCGUACCUUGUUCUCCAAGGCCUCCCUAAUCUGCUCAGUGAUGAGGCCAGUAACUUCUGCAACACCUCCUUGGAUUUUGACAGUGAUGAGGCCUGGACAAAAGUAUCUGUUGAGUUGCUGACAGUCAUCAUUGAAGAUGCACCUCUCUCCAAAUCAUCUCCAUCCUGACCCAGUGUCUUCUGACACCUUUCUUGAAGGAGGUAUUGUAAUGGACAAUCUCCAGAACCUACCUCAAACACUUUGCCUCUUGUUUGGGCUGUCCUAUGCGCCACACUUGGACUACCCUUAAAACAAUGGAAAACACAUUCAACGAGUGAUCCUUGGCCUGGGAGAGAACAAACUCCCCACUAAACUUUAAACUCCUCUUGAGUUACAUUGUUAAUAAUAAAGAGUGACAUUUGG